GUCAAGUCAUCAUGGCCCUUAUGUCCAGGGCUACACACGUGCUACAAUGGGCGGUACAGAGCGAGGCGAGCCCGAGAGGGCGCAGCGAAGCGCAAAAAGCCGCCCGUAGUCCGGAUUGAAGUCUGAAACCCGACUUCAUGAAGCUGGAAUCGCUAGUAAUCGCGCAUCAGCAUGGCGCGGUGAAUACGUUCCCGGGCCUU
rnacentral:rRNA from 1 species